rfam:Oryza glumipatula chromosome 2, whole genome shotgun sequence.
UAUAAGGGAUUUUGAGUUUUUGUUUGCAACGUUUGACCACUCGUCUUAUUCAAAAAAUUUUGAAAUUAUUAUUUAUUUUAUUUGUAACUUACUUUAUUAUCUACUGUACUUUAAGCACAACAUUUCGUUUUUUAUAUUUGCAAAAAAAAAUUGAAUAAGACGAAUGGUCAAACGUUGCAAACAAAAACUCAAAAUCCCUUAUA